rnacentral:lncRNA from 1 species
UAGCUCAGCUCAUCUCGUCUGCUGUUUGAUCUCGUAAUCUCAGCAGAGUGAGAAGCCUAGCUGCAACUCAAGCUUUAGUUUCCUCCCAAAACAAAAAUUUAAGGUUGCAUUGUGAGUGAGGUAGCAGGAUGUGCGGCAUCCUUGCUGUGCUGGGCUGCGCCGACGAGGCUUCGCUGCAGGGAAAGAAGCGCGCCCGCGUGCUGGAGCUGUCGCGCCGGCUCAAGCACCGGGGCCCAGACUGGAGCGGGCUGCGGCAGGUGGGCGACUGCUACCUCUCCCACCAGCGCCUCGCCAUCAUCGACCCGGCCUCCGGCGACCAGCCCCUCUACAACGAGGACGAGUCCGUCGUCGUCACCGUCAACGGCGAGAUCUACAACCACGAGAACCUCAGGACCCACCUCUCCGCUGCCGGCCACAAGUUCAGGACUGGCAGCGAC